UACGGAGGGAGCUAGCGUUGUUCGGAAUUACUGGGCGUAAAGCGCACGUAGGCGGCUUUGCAAGUUAGAGGUGAAAGCCCGGGGCUCAACCCCGGAAUUGCCUUUAAAACUGCAUCGCUAGAGUUGUGGAGAGGUAAGUGGAAUUCCGAGUGUAGAGGUGAAAUUCGUAGAUAUUCGGAAGAACAACAGUGGCGAAGGCGACUUACUGGACACAUACUGACGCUGAGGUGCGAAAGCGUGGGGAGCAAACAGG
rnacentral:rRNA from 1 species